CUCCGUUUCUUUGCAGAACAAGAUCACGUCCGACGUCCAUUAGACUGUUUGCGAUAGAUUAGCGGCCGACGCGUGACGACCAUUCGUGUAAUGUUGUGUUAGACUGAGACCGGUAAUAGGGUAACGGACACUAGGAUAACUAACAAGUGCACACCGUCUACAAAUGUGUACGUACAACAUCGGAUCGUGAAGUAGAGUCGAGCCACUGAGAACGAUGAGCACUUCAUUUCAAUAUGGAUAUGGACACAGCCUGAAAAAUGCCACCCAAGCAAUCUCCCGAGCGUGAUAAGCAAAGAAAAGCCAUUUCCGAUGAUUCCCCUCUCCUCAUCCAUUCUCUUCGCUCAUUUUUCUUUUUUUCCUUCUUCAUUUAUAUCGCGUGGGCAUUUGGGCUAGCAGCGGCUCACAUAUUGGAAGUCAUUCACCCGCCGUUCACUCCAUUUCUUCGCUCAACUUUUGCAAAUAUAUUUGAAUUGCGUUUGUGUGUUGCGAAGAUGACCGCCGUGAAACCCAAUUGUUAUGCCACCAUCCAUUAUACACACACGAGCCUAGAGCUAGUGCCAUACAUAUA